AAUACCCAGUAUCUCAAG
rnacentral:misc_RNA from 1 species